rnacentral:rRNA from 1 species
UGGGGAAUAUUGCACAAUGGGGGAAACCCUGAUGCAGCGACGCCGCGUGAGUGAGGAAGUAUUUCGGUAUGUAAAGCUCUAUCAGCAGGGAAGAAAAUGACGGUACCUGACUAAGAAGCCCCGGCUAACUACGUGCCAGCAGCCGCGGUAAUACGUAGGGGGCAAGCGUUAUCCGGAUUUACUGGGUGUAAAGGGAGCGUAGACGGCGGAACAAGUCAGAAGUGAAAACCCGGGGCUCAACCCUGGGAGUGCUUUUGAAACUGUUUGGCUGGAGUGCAGGAGAGGUAAGCGGAAUUCCUAGUG